rnacentral:misc_RNA from 1 species
AAGUCGUAACAAGGUUUCCGUAGGUGAACCUGCGGAAGGAUCAUUAUUGAAUAAAUCUGGCGUUGGUUGUAGCUGGCUCUCCGGAGCAUGUGCUCGCCCGUCACCUUUAUCUUUCCACCUGUGCACACACUGUAGUCCUGGAUACCUCUCGUCGCAAGGCGGAUGCAGGGAUUGCCGCGUCCUCCUCGCGAGGUCGGCUCUCUCUGAAUUUCCAGGGCUAUGAAAUUUACACACCCCAAACGUAUGUCAUAGAAUGUCAUCACUAGGCUUCGUGCCUAUAAACCUAUACAACUUUCAGCAACGGAUCUCUUGGCUCUC